UACGAAGGGUGUAAGCGUUAGUCGGAACUACUGGGCGUAAAGCGUGCGUAGGUGGUUUCUUAAGUCCGUUGUGAAAGCCCUGGGCUCAACCUGGGAACUGCAGUGGAUACUGAGAGGCUAGAGUGUGUCAGAGGAUGGUGGAAUUCCCGGUGUAGCGGUGAAAUGCGUAGAGAUCGGGAGGAACAUCAGUGGCGAAGGCGGCCAUCUGGGACAACACUGACGCUGAGGCACGAAAGCGUGGGGAGCAAACAGG
rnacentral:rRNA from 1 species